AAACAGACAGUGGCGCGCGCACACAGCCAGCCACGAGGUCGCCUGGGCGUCGGUCAUGCGCCGAGCGCCGUUGUGGACGCUCCACAGCGCGCCGUCGUGGCGGCGUACCCAUAUGCUCUCCCUGCACCGAGACCUGGCAUCGAAAAAGGCCUUGAGGUCCAUCACACGCGCAUCAUUGAUAAAGUCAAACGAUCGGUGCUCCUCGUACUCGUCGAGGCGUGCGCCGGCCCUGGCGACAAUGUGUCGAAGCAGGCCGACGUCGUGCUCGUGUUCGAGGAGGAGCAGCCGCCCGACGUCGACCGUCUCGUUCCAUGCCACACAAUCCAGCGCGGCCUCGGCCAGCACAGCCUCCUUUUGCGCACUGGCUAUGGUCGCUGUCGCCGCCGUUGGCUUCGUCUCGCCAGACACGUGCUCUUUGCCUGCACCAUGGACGUCUGUCGCCUCCAUUGACCUUUUUCCUCAAAAACCAACUUGGUAUGUCUUGUAGCGCCGCUCUGGUGUCGAUUUGUGCAGAUUUGAUGGGGGAUCCCUUUUUUACCUGUUUUUUUUGUGUUUCCGUCUGUUUGCGACAAGGUUUAUGCGGCCUCGCCCAAUGCAUCGAUGAGGGGACCGACCGCCCCCAUCCAUUUGUGGCACUCUUUGGGUUGGACGUUGGAAAAAAACCCAUUGUUUUUUAUGGGGUGCAAAAAGUGUCUCUAAG
rnacentral:lncRNA from 1 species